rnacentral:lncRNA from 1 species
CGGCCGCAGCGGAGAAGGCGGGCGGCGGCCUAGAGUGGUGGUGGCGGCGGCGGCGGCAGCGACAGCGGCCCGGGAGCUUGCGCGGGAGCCCGAGCCAGCUUGCUGUGGAGGCCAGCGAGCGCACGGCGCUUCCCGGCGCGCGUAGGAGAUGGCUGACACCCGGGAACAAUAUGGGUGAGAGCCCAGCCUCUGCGGUUCUUAAUGCCUCAGCAGGAUUAUUUUCACUAAAGAUGGAAACACUGGAGUCUGAAUUGACCUGUCCAAUCUGCCUCGAGUUGUUUGAAGACCCCCUUCUGCUCCCUUGUGCUCACAGCCUAUGUUUUAGCUGUGCUCACCGCAUCCUGGUCUCAAGCUGCAGCUCCGGUGAAUCCAUUGAACCCAUUACUGCUUUUCAGUGUCCUACAUGCAGGUAUGUUAUCUCGCUGAAUCACCGGGGCCUG